AGUCAAUGAGCUUGAAAAUUAAGCAUAUGUUUUGAAAACAUAAGAUAGAAAUUAAAUUUUCUAUUGACUU
rnacentral:tRNA from 1 species